AACUGAGCCUAAAAAUAAUUGAAAAUUUAUGAGCCAAGUAGUCAUAGUAAUUAAGUGCCUCGUGCAAUAGUCUGAAAGGGAAAUUUGAAUAAACAGUAGAUCAUGGUCCUCAAAAGGGCAGAACAUUGUAAGGGGGGAUACUUCAGCCGGUUAAGGGUAAACAAACAUAAGUUUAAUGUUUUUGGGAUGAAGAAAUAGUUCAAUUAAUAUCAUAGUAAUGAAACCAGACUGCUAUAUUCAUCAAGUACAAGUUUUACAAGAGGAUAGUACAACUUUUACAAGAGGAUAUUGGGCGUGUGAAUGAUAAAUAUGUGUGCAUGUACCUGUGUCGGGUGUCUGGAUUAGAAAUGUAACUUAAAUAUUGCAGUAUGAAUCAAAGAGGACUAACAAAUAUAUGGUACAUACAAAUCACUGAAUCGUAUAGAUGAUUCCACAGUGCAUUUAAUCUCAGUCAAGAUACUAUCAACCAUACAGAAAAAAACUAUUUCCAGAAAGUUAUUAAGCAAAAUUAGCAUAUUAGUAUAUUUUGUUGACCCUACGUGACAGGUUGGUAUAUUUUCUUACUCCGGUGAUGAUAUGGUAUAUUUUGUGAACCACUGUGACAAAUACCCCUAUUUUUUGGCCGAAGCCAAAACUCCGGCAAAACAAAGUCACGUGCAUCCGUGUGGCUGCUCAAAUUAGGUCUAAAAAAAGUUAGGGCUCAAAUUAGGGAUAUUCUUUUUCCUCCCAGGGUUAAUUUGGUUAUGGCAACUGAAAUUGGAGAUGGAACACCUCACAUGACCCUCUUUGGUCGAAAUUUUGUCUCCGACCUGGCAUUUGUCACUGUGAUCCACAAAAUAUACCAUAUCAUCACCGGAGUAAGAAAAUAUACCAAUCUGACACGUAGGGUCAACAAAAUAUACCUAUCUGGUAAUUCUGCCAAAGUUACUAUCUAAAUGAAAAUAAUGUCAAAUUGAAACCAUACUUCAAAAUGCAGAAACUAUAAAGCUCAAGUAAAUUUUUCUUGAUAGUUUAGGCUUGUAUUCUCAUGCCUGUCAACUUCUAUAUGGACCUGGACCGCUGGACGAACACUGCAAUGUCUCGUCAACAUUUACGUUGCUCACUCGCAACUAAAGAGCUGGCGUUGGCUAUGAUACAAUGUGUUAGAGACCUAGCAAAUGGCGCUCCAAAAAGCUAGUUAUUAGAGGGGGGGAAAUUCAAAUCUCUAAUAAACCCAUGUUUACUACUCAUUCAGUUAAUGUAGUAACUAAAUGAACCCCAAUAUUUAAGGAAGUCAUGAGAUCUACUUUGACAAAAUACUAAGACCUACACAUAUAAACAGUUUAAGUACAUAAAGGUUAUAAGAUAUUCUGCAAAAUGAACAAUGAUAUAUGAGGAUUGUCCUUAAUUGGAGAAAGGAGUACCUUAAGGCAGCGUUUAAUUACUUCACCUAAUUCCAACCCCACCUCUUGUCCCAAUCCCACCACCAUUUUGAAGUAAACGGUCUAGAUAUCCCCAGGACUAAAAACUUCACUUACAUUAUUUACUUUUUUCAACUGUUUGAUCAAAUUUUCAAUUUUGUCAAUGGUUAAUAGUUUUAUAAAAAAUUUAUUUUUCUGAAUACAGGACCAAGCUUCAUGUUACACACAAGUUUCCAAACUUGCAUGGCUACAAAAGAAAGUUGGAAUAAUUUACUAUGUACAAUUGAAGAAGUUAACUGAAGAGAACGAGGGGCUACAAGUUUUCCAAGAAUAUGAUAUAUUUCCAAAUUCAGAAAUUAGCUGAAGAGAACAAUAGGCUACAGAAGGAAGUUAGGGAGCACAGAGCAUUGAAAUCAGAAUUACCUCAGCUUCAAAUCUAUGUACCUACUAAACAUCACUAGUGCUUGCCAUUAUGAAAACGACUCGUACAAGUAUUCAAACAGCAAUUAACUUAUCUUCAUCUAGGGAAAAUUUUCUGUUGGACAUAUUAAGAACCUGCUCCUGGCGACAGACUUGGUAGCUGGAGUGCCUCUAGGCUCCAGUGAAUAAGAAGACAAGUGACGUAUAAGCCAAUUUUAAUUUAUCCCAACAGCGGGGAAACUCAUGACGCUGAUAAAAAGGAAUGGGUGGUCAUGGCAUUGAUCGGAACUUCGCAUGCAGGAUCGAUGACGGUAUUCAGGCACUCAUCAACUCAAGGGCGAAGAAGUUGC